UACGUAGGUGGCAAGCGUUGUCCGGAUUUACUGGGUGUAAAGGGCGUGUAGCCGGGCUGACAAGUCAGAUGUGAAAUUCCGGGGCUCAACCCCGGACCUGCAUUUGAAACUGUUGGUCUAGAGUAUCGGAGAGGCAAGUGGAAUUCCUAGUGUAGCAGUGAAAUGCGUAGAUAUUAGGAGGAACACCAGUGGCGAAGGCGGCUUGCUGGACGAAAACUGACGUUGAGGCUCGAAAGCGUGGGGAGCAAACAGG
rnacentral:rRNA from 1 species